rnacentral:rRNA from 1 species
UGGGGAAUUUUGCGCAAUGGGGGCAACCCUGACGCAGCGACGCCGCGUGGGUGAUGAAGGCCUUCGGGUUGUAAAGCCCUGUUGGGGGGGAAGAUAAUGACGGUACCCCCUGAGGAAGCCCCGGCUAACUACGUGCCAGCAGCCGCGGUAAGACGUAGGGGGCGAGCGUUGUCCGGAAUUACUGGGCGUAAAGGGCGUGUAGGCGGCCUUUCAAGUCGGCUGUGAAAUACCCCGGCUCAACCGGGGGGGUGCAGUCGAAACUGGGGGGCUUGAGUGCAGGAGAGGGGGGGGGAAUUCCCGGUGGAGCGGUGAUAUGCGUAGAUAUCGGGAGGAACACCGGUGGCGAAGGCGACCUUCUGGCCUGUUACUGACGCUGAGGCGCGAAAGCCGGGGGAGCAAACAGG